GUGGGGAAUAUUGGACAAUGGGCGCAAGUCUGAUCCAGCCAUGCCGCGUGAGUGAUGAAGGCCUUAGGGUUGUAAAGCUCUUUCAGUGGGGACGAUAAUGACGGUACCCACAGAAGAAGCCCCGGCUAACUUCGUGCCAGCAGCCGCGGUAAUACGAAGGGGGCUAGCGUUGUUCGGAUUUACUGGGCGUAAAGCGCACGUAGGCGGAUCGUUAAGUCGGGGGUGAAAUCCUGGAGCUCAACUCCAGAACUGCCUUCGAUACUGGCGAUCUUGAGUCCGGAAGAGGUGAGUGGAACUCCUAGUGUAGAGGUGGAAUUCGUAGAUAUUAGGAAGAACACCAGUGGCGAAGGCGGCUCACUGGUCCGGUACUGACGCUGAGGUGCGAAAGCGUGGGGAGCAAACAGGAUUAGAAACCCUAGUAGUCC
rnacentral:rRNA from 1 species